rnacentral:rRNA from 1 species
CCGGACCGGCGCGACGGGUGAGUAACACGUAUGCAACCUGGCCGUGACAGAUGGAUAACCGGGAGAAAUCCCGCCUAAUACAACAUAAUGCCGGGAGGGGACAUCCCCUGCCGGUCAAAGGGGGCGACCCCGGUCAUGGAUGGGCAUGCGGCGCAUUAGGUAGUUGGUGGGGCAACGGCCCACCAAGCCGACGAUGCGUAGGGGUUCUGAGAGGAAGGUCCCCCACAUUGGAACUGAGACACGGUCCAAACUCCUACGGGAGGCAGCAG